GGUACUGGCUCAGUGGUAGAGACCUCGCCUAGCAUGUGUGAGGCCCUGGGUUCAACCCUCAGCACCA
rnacentral:tRNA from 1 species